CAGUAGCCGCGGGAAUACGGAGGGUGCAAGCGUUAAUCGGAAUUGCUGGGCGUAAAGCGCACGCAGGCGGUUUGUUAAGUCAGAUGUGAAAUCCCCGAGCUUAACUUGGGAACUGCAUUUGAAACUGGCAAGCUAGAGUCUUGUAGAAGGGGGUAGAAUUCCAGGUGUAGCGGUGAAAUGCGUAGAGAUCUGGAGGAAUACCGGUGGCGAAGGCGGCCCCCUGGACAAAGACUGACGCUCAGGUGCGAAAGCGUGGGGAGCAAACAGGAUUAGAUACCCCUGUAGUCCCUGUCUCUUAUAC
rnacentral:rRNA from 1 species